rnacentral:rRNA from 1 species
AGUAGUUUGAUCAUGGCUCAGAGCGAACGCUGGCGGCAGGCUUAACACAUGCAAGUCGAGCGGGCGUAGCAAUACGUCAGCGGCAGACGGGUGAGUAACGCGUGGGAACGUACCUUUGGUUCGGAACAACACAGGGAAACUUGCGCUAAUACCGAAUGUGCCCUUACGGGGAAAGAUUUAUCGCCAAAGGAUUAGCCCGCGUAGGAUUAGCUAGUUGGUGAGGUAAUGGCUCACCAAGGCUCCGAUCCUUAGCUGUUCUGAGAGGAAGAUCAGCCACACUGGGACUGAGACACGGCCCAGACUCCUACGGGAGGCAGCAGUUGGGAAUCUUGGACAAUGGGGGAAACCCUGAUCCAGCCAUGCCGCGUGAGUGAUGAAGGCCUUCGGGUUGUAAAACUCUUUCGACGGGGACGAUAAUGACGGUACCCGUAGAAGAAGCUCCGGCUAACUUCGUG